CAUGUCUGUCUGAGUGUCGGU
rnacentral:rRNA from 2 species